rnacentral:rRNA from 1 species
UACGAAGGGGGCUAGCGUUGCUCGGAAUCACUGGGCGUAAAGCGCACGUAGGCGGAUCUUUAAGUCAGGGGUGAAAUCCCAGGGCUCAACCCUGGAACUGCCUUUGAUACUGUCGAUCUGGAGUAUGGAAGAGGUGAGUGGACUUCCGAGUGUAGAGGUGAAAUUCGUAGAUAUUCGGAGGAACACCAGUGGCGAAGGCGGCUCACUGGUCCAUUACUGACGCUGAGGUGCGAAAGCGUGGGGAGCAAGCAGG